ensembl:ncRNA lncRNA:CR46260 long non-coding RNA:CR46260
AAUACUUUUAGCGUACAAACCCCCCUUUUCGAGAGUCACGCGACCAUCUCCUUCGGGGACUUCUGCCUGCUGCUUGCUGCCUGCUCCCAGCUGCAUAAUAAUUUAUGAUCGCGUCCAAGAUGUGGGUUAAUCGUGUUUUGGGCUAGUUUCUUGCCCCAGCUUGUCUCUGCGCGGAGACUGCAUCCCCGGCAGACUGCAGCAUCAUCUAAAUACAAUCCCAAGAUUGCUGCUGGUUGGCUUUCUGCGCUGUGGCAUGUUCUUCACAUCCAAUUACUGGGUCAGGGACCUGCAAGUCCUGAUCUGCGCUCGGCAAUUUCCACAACGAGAAACUCCCACUUCAGUACGCCCACCCACCCGCCUUCCUUCUAGCCAUCAUUUUCCCGCUCUCUGUCAGUCAGUCAAUUGCAAAUGGGGCAUUUAAUCUCGGGGAAUGCGUAGCAGGCGUCUGCAGACCUCGCACGAUUCCCAAGGCAAUUAGCCAUGCAAGAUGCCUUGUAUUCAUUGCCAAUGACCCCCUAUUCAGUGCCAUAGCCUUUUAGGAGUUCCAUUCUGGCUGUGAUGAGCCGCCAAAAAGCAAUAAAAUAUCAUUUUAUUAGCAUGCGGACUCGACUGAACUGCCAAGGUGGAGGCGUUCUCUAUCUCCACAGCCCCCCUUCUCUCUUUCUGUAAAUAGCUUCCAUUGUGAGCAGCCACAAAAGCAAGACACGUGCACUUGCAACCAAACGAGGUGGGCUUAAUUUUCAGGACAAACUCAAUAUUUACGCAAAUUGAGUUGUGACUAUUGCUGAUUUCACCAUCCUUAUCCCUAAUCCACUGGGCAGAGUAAAUGCCGAAAAGCAGGGCAGACUGCCUGCAGUAUUUAGUAUGCAGUUACAGAUUUCGUGCUCGUUCCAGGCUCUCUAUGGGUCUCUGGGUCCCCGAGCUCGUUGCCCAAUGUCCAACGUCCAGUGUCCAGCGUCCAGUGUCCCUGGCUGCUGGAUCAGAAUUUAUGCAUAUGACCUUAGUUAUUGACAUAAUUUCGUGGCUGGCGGAUUGGGCACGAAACGAAAACGAAAUGCGCAUUAAAUGCUGGUUGGGGCCCGAAAGGGAAAGAGAGAUUCCGAUUCCCCGAUCCGCCGGCUUCUCGAUUGUGCGAAAUGUUCACGCUGCUUUGGACAAAUGCGCAAAUUUGUACGCAGGGAAGGGAAGGGGCCGCCGAGGCAGUGGAUCCGCGGAUCGGAUCAGGUGAUUAUCACGGCCUCCUCCUCGCCGGUGCAUUUGUCAAAUUUUCCACUUAAUCCGAAGUCAGCCGUGCUCACAUGGAAAAUUGUCACAGGCUCGCGUAAAGUUAAGGCUGGUAAAAGGCGCCCCACGGCGACUCAGCUCCAUUGAGCUUCUCUGGACCGCGGCGCUUUAAUUGGUCUUAUGAAACGGACAAAGUGCGAAAUGAGUUAUGCGCACGCGCGCACCCGCAGUUGAGUCCCAGUCCCCCAGUGUCCAUCCCCCAAUCCGGUCUCCACCGCGAAGUCCAGCUCUACAGCCGAUCUCUGAGUACGAAUACGAAUACGAAUACGAAUCCGAAUCCGUGGCCGAUAAUGAACGCAUGUGGGAAUUCGAAAAUUGGAUUUGGGUAUUGUGCAACCAGCUUGGAAGUUGGAAGCCAGUGACACGGGAAGAAAAAAAACUGAGGUGUUUGGCUUUGGACGCCACGAAGAAAAUACCAUUGACAUCAGAUAAUAGUCAGAGUAUAUAAGAAAAUGAAAAGUAUUUCUCUGACUGCAUCGAGUUUGCCCACUGCAUUAGGAUUUUCGCUGCUGCCGUUGCAGUUCCACAGAUGCAAAAGUGCAAAUACUACGAAUGUGAGUGUAAGUGUGAGCACGCAAAGUAUCUAUUAGCGUCGCCUUUGCGCGCUGAAGUCAAACGGAAUCUGUUUAGCAGUCGCUGUCUUUGGCGUUUCUGUUUCUGUUUUCCCCGUUCGGGUUUCGGCCAUCGCGAAUUAUCUGUUAAUUUGUGGCAAUUUAGAGAUUUGCAGAUACGAAACUCACUCUGUGCAUUCAACGGCAGCUGCUGAUACGCGAAGUCAUUGGACAGAAGUCAGCAAGUGGCUAACCGAUAUGGAUGGUGGCUGAUCAUCACUUGCUGAUCGAACAGGGGCUUGCUUUUCCAGUCGGAGAAAACCCGAGUUCCUGUCAAUGGAAGUUAUAAAAUCUUUUUGUUUAGGGGAUGGUAAUUAUCUUGGUAUAUAGCGAACAAAUCAGCUUCCUUGUCUCGAGUUUCCACUGACAUACUUUCCGUGGUUUCUAAUCCCCCACAAAUCGAUUGACCGAACGCAGCAUACUGUAUACUCCAAUGUCCAGAGGGGGCAUCCAUUUUGGCACAGACUGUUCCAGCAUUAAACUUGGCCCAGACUAAGCCACGAUAAAUUCCUGACCAGCCGAACUGAACUGGGCGCAAGCAGCAAACCACAAACAAGAUCCGGAUGAAGGGGUGAGUUCGCAGACGAGCUCACUCGCUCCCAAUACGCAUGCGCAAUUUUUCAAAAGCUUUUAACGUGAAGAGCCCAGAAAAUUACGAUGUAAUUUUUGUAAUUUCUGUAAUUGCCUAAUUCUGAUUAAUUUGAAUUGCGAGAGGGGGGCAGAUCACCAAUUGGAGUCCGAUGCCCAACACGACUAUUUUUGCCAGUGCACUGGCAUGUGGCUCCAAUAAGCAUUCCCUGGUUACCUUCGGUGAUCUUCUCACAUCCAUUUCUAGGUGCAGAUAAAAAAAUUAGGUAAUGUGCUAAGUUGUUAAAUAAAAUAAAUCAAU